UACGGAGGGGGUUAGCGUUGUUCGGAAUUACUGGGCGUAAAGCGCGCGUAGGCGGACCAGAAAGUUGGGGGUGAAAUCCCGGGGCUCAACCCCGGAACGGCCUCCAAAACUCCUGGUCUUGAGUUCGAGAGAGGUGAGUGGAAUUCCGAGUGUAGAGGUGAAAUUCGUAGGUAUUCGGAGGAACACCAGUGGCGAAGGCGGCUCACUGGCUCGAUACUGACGCUGAGGUGCGAAAGUGUGGGGAGCAAACAGG
rnacentral:rRNA from 1 species